rnacentral:tRNA from 1 species
CCCUGGUGUCUCAAGCAGUAAAGAAUCUGCCUGAAAUGCAGGAGACCCAGGUUCAAUCCCUGGAUCAGGAA